AGGAUCAUUAAUGUUCGCAUGAUUGCUUCGAGCAAGCUGCAUGCAGGAGCCCGAAAACCCCGUCGCAGCUCGCGGCACGGCCCCGGACCCCAUAUUGAGCCUACUAUUAUCAAUAUUAUUACCACAAACAUACACCCCUUGGCUGGGGGUCACCCCUCCGGGCCUGGCUGCUCAAUCGAUCAUCAUUUCUUUUACUAGCGAGGGGGUUGAUCGGUCCGCAACCAACAGAUGUUUUCGCGCCACAUGUGCGUUUGCUGCAAGGUGGACUGGGGUCUCCCCUCCGAGCCUUGCUCCUCUUCUUUACCAGCGAGGGGGUCUCUCAGUCCAAAACAGUUGGUUCGGUGUUACCAGUGGCCGGCUCCACCCCUCCCUGCCCAGCCCCGCCAACCAUCAGCGAGGGGGUCACCCAGCCCGUAUAAGAAAUAUGACAAAGUGUGAAAGGGGUGAGCUCAGGGUCCGGUAAGACGUCCGCCUCGGCUAAGGGUGGGCUCCGCCCUCCAUUCACCCUCACUGAGUACCUUUCCACGUUGCUUCCCCGGGGCAGCAGCUCGCCUGCCCUGGCCCUCCAUGUCUCAUGUCCAGGCAUGUGUAACUGGGAGUUUCCCGGGGAAGGUCCUUUGCAAAAUCACAGAUGUUUCUAUCUAUGUCUGACGGGCCAUUGGUCCAAGAAGAAAAAACAAUCAAAAAACUUUCAACAACGGAUCUCUUGGUUCUCGCAUCGAUGAAGAACGCAGCGAAUUGCGAUAAGUAAUGUGAAUUGCAGAAUUCAGUGAAUCAUCGAAUCUUUGAACGCACAUUGCGCCCUCUGGCAUUCCGGGGGGCAUGCCUGUUUGAGCGUCUCAUGCAUCAAAAGUCACACAUGCUGUGGUCAUGGCGCACGUGGGGGAGCCUUAUGCAACCCCACUGAGCUGAAAAUCAUAGGCGGACGUCACCUGUGUUCGGCACGUAGUAUGUAUCCAUUUCCGUGUCCAGCGUANNNUGCACCUCCUGCCAAGGCCACCUGGCCGCUAGAAACCUCAAUGCAUCCUCAGAUCA
rnacentral:rRNA from 1 species